AUGGUAAUGUAUUGCUGUGACUAUUAUGCUUACUUUGACUUCUGGGGACAAGGAGCCAUGGUCACCGUCACAUCAGCAUCUAAGAAUGGCCCGAGUGUCUACCCCAUGGUUUCCUGCUGCAGUUCCAAAAUUGAAAAUGCUAAGACAGAGACAGUCAUAGCCUGCCUUGUGAAUGACUACUUCCCAGAGCCAGUGUCCAUCAGCUGGAAUUCUGACCUGACCACUCAGGUUUUCCCAGCUGUGCAGACCAAGAAUGAAAGGUACACCCAGACCAGCCAGCUCACCAUCCCUUCCAGCAGCUUACAGAGCCGCAGCAGCUACCAGUGCAACGUGGAGCACAAACCUUCAGGAAAAAACAUCUCCAAGUCAUUCCCUGCAGAUUUGUGUGCUGAAAAGACCGCUGAACCCCAGGUUCACAUCCUGCCCCCAUCUUGCGAGGAUAGUUCUACAGAGAAGCCACUGGAGCUGAUUUGUCUCUUCCUGAACUUGAGCCCUGGCAAGGUCAAUGUGGAAUGGCUUGUGAAUGGAGUGAAGGACAAGACGUACAGCUCGAGUGUUGCCCGUGUAGACGAUGCAAAUGAGUUAAACGUGGGCUACAACCGAAUAAAGCUUACCAAGCAAGCCUGGGACAGUGAAAAUGUUUACACUUGCAAAGUGACUCAUCCUAAAAUUGCAGGCGGCUACAUGAUGUACAACACCAGCAAAUGCUCAGCCUGUUUCAAAAACUUUCCUUACCCCAGCAUCUACAUAACAAAGCCAUCCUAUGAAGAUGUGCUUGCCAACACUGGCCUGGUUACAUGCCUAGUGCUGGCAUCUGAUUUAAGUGGUGCUGACAUCACAUGGGAAGUGGAUGGGAGAAAAAGCCCUAAUGGGAAUACAGGACGUAUCCAGACCCACAACAAUGGGACCCAAACCCGCCUCAGCUCCCAUCAGGUGACUCUGAAGCAAUGGAACAGCACCUCCACAUUUACUUGCAAAGCAAAGGUCCUCUGCUAUGGAGAGAUGAAAGACCAAGUAGCCAUGAGUGAGAAAAAUGUCCAGAGGAAAACACCAUCAGUCACCAUUUCCCAAGCCUAUCGCGAAGACGCCUCUGGAAACAGAGUUGCCAUCCUACUUAUCUGUGAAGUUAGUGGCUUCUCCCCCAAGGAGAUCAGCAUUUCAUGGCAGAAGAACGAUGCCCAGGAACCCAAAUCCCAUUACAAUAAUGGCCCUGUGUACGGAAAUGGCUUAUACUCAACUGAAAGCAUCCUGAAGGUGGAUAAAGGUGAAGGACCAGCAAUUUAUACCUGUGUAGUGCAGCACCCAACUUUGAAAAAUCCUGAUAAAGUUACUGCAAAUGUGUCUUUUGAUUUCCUGGAACCAGCUCCCCCACAAGUUACUGUCUCCCAUGCGCCAGACAUAGGUGGACAUGAGAAACUGACCUGCUUCACUACUGGCUUCUACCCAAAGGACAUAGACAUCUAUUGGAUGGUCAAAAAGGAGAUGCAAAACUGCACCUUCAAAUCACCUCUGGUAGCCCUAGCUGAUGGAAAGUUCCAGCAGACUUGUGAGCUGCUGAUCAGUACAGAAGACUGGAGCACGGUGGAUACAUACACUUGUAUUGUGACCCACAGCUCCCUUACUGGAAUCCUGGAAAAGACCUUACGCUCCACUGGUUGGCAGAUCUCAGCAGCAAACUCCAGCUUAAUAGAGCCCCCAUCCUUGAGGGAGCUCUUUGUCAAUAAGACAGCAGAUGUGAUAUGCAAGACCCAACUUGUCAAUGCCAGUAUCCAGUGGAUGAUGAAUGAACAACCCAUGGACUUAAGGGCAGUGAGGUCAGAGGAGCCAGAGAAACAAAAUGUCAGCACCUGGAUCCAGAGCUGGCUGCAAGUCAACCUGAGCGAGUGGAAUUCCACCAAGAAGGUCAGCUGUUUAAUCACGAGUAACCAGGAAGAAAGAAAGUUGGAUUUCAGCUUAAACCAUGGCCCUUGGAAGGCUCCAAGCACCUAUCUCCUGCCUGCAUCCUCUGACACCGCCUACAAAGACCAAAGCCUCACCCUCUUCUGCAUUAUCAAAGACUUCUACCCAAAAGAUGUCUCGGUCUGGUGGCAGGAGGAUGAGGUGCCAAUCGACAUGGACCGUCAGCCUCAGAAUGACCACCCGAGCUGUGACCACCAGAGCCAGCGAUGUUCCCUGGUCAGCAAACUGGAGGUGUCCAGGACAGAAUGGCUACUGGGGACUACCUACACCUGCCUAGUUGCCCACAUGUCUUCUGAAGUGAUUCUAGAAAGAAGCGUUAAUGCCUAUACUGGUAAAAACGUGUCUUAGCACUUCCUUCAUCCCAGAUUAUCCCAUUCAGGUCUCUCCACCCAAAAAAAUCCUCUCUGACUCUCCAUCAUCCCAUACCAUCCCUCUAAACUCUUGGCCUCUUACCUCAGCCCUCAUGUUCCAGUUUUACUUUUGCUAGA